AUGGCACCCAUCAUGGAGGGCACACACACUGUGUUGCUCCUGUAUGCACCCAUCCGUGAGUUAAGCAACAUCAGCCUGUAUUUCCCCAAGAGGCGGGCCCCAAGCUUCAAGUACAAGAGCCGCGCCCCUCAUUCAGAAAGGGCCGGUAAUGACCAUGACUGGGGAAAGGAGGAUCUCAGAGUGUCCGAACAAAGAGUCCAGUCUUCAGACUCCUCGGGCGAACUCCUCAACUCCCAGCAGGCAACAAAGGAAGCAGUUGCAGAGCUCUGCUGGUUGGCGGCGGAGCACCACCAGUUGCUGGCGGAUCUCUUAUCGCUGUGUAGGGUUUGUGCCAACAAAGUCAGGAUGGGUAACCAGGAUGGGAAACUGCAGGAUUACAUGGAGGGUCAGGAAGUUCACCUUGGAGGUCAGAUUCUCAGCAGCAGCAGCAGCUAUUCUCUCCCCAUUCCUCCAGAGCAUAAGAGAGCUGCAUCCAAGAGCAAAAAAAUUAAGAAGUUGGGUGGCAAGAAGCUUGACAGUGCUGAGGAUUUCCUGCACAGUAAGAUGAAGAAGAGAGUUACAGGUGUAACUUCAUCUGUUGAACCUGCUCACAACAUUGUGUCCGUAUCUUCAGCCUCAGUAGUGGAGCAGAUCCCAGGUAUCCUACCGUCUGUCCAUGUCUCUGACAGCCCAGUCACCGGCUCUUACGUCAGUGCAGUCAGCAAUCCUAUCCUGCCCAUGGAGGAACCCUUCCAGAUUACUCGAGAGGGUUGGGACUUCAUGGAGGACAACCGGACAUUUGACCCUGACAUGGAUUUCUGCAGUGACUUCUCAGAGUAUGACGGUGAGCUGGGUUAUGAGUCAUCAUUUUGCAGCCUGAUGGAGGGUCUCACUCGACGGGAAAGUGGCAGCAACCUUCGCCCAAUUAAGAGGUUUAAUUCCUUGGGAGAGACAUUGUCCGAGGAUGCGUCAACAGUCAAGUCGGCUCAGCAGCUGUAUGGUGAAAUAAACCAGAGUAAUACAGGGGUCAGGGUGGUGGCCAAAGUGCAGGAUGUGGAGGGGAGAGUGCAACAUGUCAGCCAUACAAGCAAAGACGGGGCAGGGCCAGCCGUGUUGCAUCCGGAGACUAGCAGCUGCCAGCAGGAGUAUGGAAAGUGGAAAGGACAAAACAGAGACCACCUGCUGGGAGUCAAUAGAGAAAAGACGGCUAACAAGCUUUCUGAAGGGCUACGGUUGCCCCUGUGCCACACCACCGAACCGUACCCCCAAACCAAAUCCCACACAAAGAGCCCUUCUUCACCUUCACUCGCUGGGGUCUUCAACACAUCUUUCCCUGCCUCUAACAGUCUCCAGAGCAUGUCCCCGGUCCUCUCCCCUCUGUCCUCCAAGCAGGCAAGCCCACAGCUCAACCACCGCAUUGUACUCCUCUCAGAUAAGGAUGUGGACCACGAACAAGACAGCUCCAGUAACACAGACGAGCCCAAAAUCUUCACCGAGGUCAUCGACAAGAACGGCAACAAGCGGACUGUCACCCGUCUGGAUCUGAACCUCAGCAGGCGGCCAAGCAACUCCAAGUGGAACUCCUCCAGCAACUCCACAACAACAGAUGAUUCCCUCUUGCGUCAGGAUGAUAUUUGGAUGCUGGAUGGCGAUGACCCUCAGGAGCCCCUCUCCCGCAUUCCGCGCCCCGAUCACCUCGACUUCCUACGCAUCACACCGCCUGAGGAUGACAUCAUCGGGGACACACCCUACUGUCCCAAGCUGGAGUGCACGGUGAGGGCCCUCAAAACAUGAGCAGCACAAACACUUACAAAUGAGCUGUGAUGCAUGUUCUUACCCCCCCACUACUUCCCACCACCCCUUCUCAUUGGAUUUCUCUCCACUCACAUCCAACCACCUGAUCAUGAAUUCUUAGAAAUGGAUUAACAGGUCAUGGAUUCUAAUCUUCAGACUGGGGUCUUAAGCCAAAACUGACUGAGAUCAUUCUACUAAAACCUCUUUCAUCCAGAACAAAGACAGGAAGAUCUCAUAUUCGCAUAUUUUCAGUGGUGCAGGUUGUAAGGAGUAAUUGGAGUGGUUUCUCUCUCUUGUUAUUGAGCAGAAGUUGCAACACAAGAGCCACAGAGCAUGUGACUGAUAUAAUCCUACAUCAGUCUCCUAAAAAAAAGCCUGUGAACAAUGCAUUGUUUGUUUCCAGGUGUUUGUAGGCCUUAAUUAUGCUAAUAAGUGGUACCAUUAAAGAACCACCGAGCUGCAUGUCUAAGUCAUCUGAUAGAAUUAUG
rnacentral:lncRNA from 15 species